rnacentral:rRNA from 1 species
GCAUAUCAAUAAGCGGAGGAAAAGAAACUAACAAGGAUUCCCUUAGUAACGGCGAGUGAAGAGGGAAGAGCUCAAAUUUUAAAUCUAUCAUGUUGUACAUGAUCGAGUUGUAAUUUGAAGAAGCGUUUUCUCGUACUUUAUGAUCAGUAUAAGUUCUCUUGGAACAGGACAUCAUAGAGGGUGAUAAUCCCGUCUGUUACUGAUUGUGAGGUUCGUUUAUGAUACGCUUUCAAAGAGUCGAGUUGUUUGGGAUUGCAGCUCCAAAUGGGUGGUAAACAUCACCUAAGGCUAAAUAUUUGCGAGAGACCGAUAGCGAACAAGUACCGUGAGGGAAAGAUGAAAAGAACUUUGAAAAGAGAGUUAAAAAGUAUGUGAAAUUGUUGAAAGGGAAACGAUUGAAGUCAGUCGUGCAGUCAUCAAUUCAGCGGUUAACAUUUUAUGUUUCCGUGUAAUUUGGUGUCUGUUGGUUAGCAUCAAUUUUGAUUGUUAUAAAAAGGUUAAGGGGAUGUGGCUCCUUCGGGAGUGUUAUAACCCUUAGCGUAAUGUGACGAUUAGGAUUGAGGUUUGCAACGAAUACCUUUUAGGGCAGUUUCACCUGGCCUCUCGUGGAAUUAUAGAUAGUUAAGAGCAUGCUCUUACUGUUUAUGAUUCUACGAAAAGGUUGGAGUGUAAAACUAAUUCGUUAAGGAUGUUGACGUA